UACGAAGGGGGCUAGCGUUGUUCGGAAUUACUGGGCGUAAAGCGCGCGCAGGCGGCUAUCCAAGUCAGUGGUGAAAGCCCGGAGCUCAACUCCGGAACUGCCAUUGAAACUGUUUAGCUUGAGGACGAGAGAGGUGAGUGGAAUUCCCAGUGUAGAGGUGAAAUUCGUAGAUAUUGGGAAGAACACCGGUGGCGAAGGCGGCUCACUGGGACGGUACUGACGCUGAGACGCGAAAGCGUGGGGAGCGAACAGG
rnacentral:rRNA from 1 species